GAAUCUUGCGCAAUGCGCGAAAGCGUGACGCAGCAACGCCGCGUGAGGGAAGACGGCCUUCGGGUUGUAAACCUCUUUCAGUUGGGACGAAGGGCCGUCGGUGAAUAGCCGGCUGGUCUGACGGUACCUUUAAAAGAAGCCCCGGCUAACUACGUGCCAGCCGCCGCGGUAAUACGUAGGGGGCAAGCGUUGUCCGGAAUCAUUGGGCGUAAAGCGCGUGUAGGCGGCUUGGUAAGUCCGCUCUGAAAGCCCGGGGCUCAACCCCGGGAGGCGGAUGGAUACUGUCAAGCUCGAGUCCGGAAGAGGCGAGUGGAAUUCCAGGUGUAGCGGUGAAAUGCGCAGAUAUCUGGAGGAACACCAAUGGCGAAGGCAGCUCGCUGGGACGGUACUGACGCUGAGACGCGAAAGCGUGGGGAGCAAAC
rnacentral:rRNA from 1 species